ensembl:lncRNA
AGUAUGCCGUAAGAGUCAUCGCUGUAACUACAUGCAACGUGUGGGAAUAGGGAAGCCUGCCCUGUCAGAGUGUUGAAAGCGAUCUCCAUCUGUUCUGGGUACUGCUCGCUCAUCAUCUGAUGGAUGCACACUACCCCUACUUGUGCCUUUCCUUCUCCUUGCUCCUUCCCUGCUAGUACAGUGGAAGCAGAUGUGUUUGCCUUUUACAGUGUUUGUUAUCAAGCUCCAACUGAGUAUGCUGAAUCACAGUGCUGCCUGAACAACCCAGUCUGAAAUACCAUGCUGCCCAUUUGGGAGAGAGAGGAAGCCCAGGUAAACCGAGCCGGUUUUGUGAAUGAAUUCAAUUUCAGCUUCAUUUUGAAAAAUGAAGUAGCUCGUGUGGCAAAGCUGGGGGGGGGGAAAGCUUCAUGACCCCUUGCUAAAAGGAGGCUCAGCAGAAGUUGGUCUUGUUGCUCAGGAUGAACAUGAGGGUAACAGGUCUCCAUAGCAUCAUAUUGCAAAUGUGUAGUUCUUUCCCCUCAGUCUGUAAUUUGGAGAGUAUACCCGUGCACACCUCUCCUUUUCUGCACCACCCUCUUUUCCUAAUUUUUCUUGAAUGUCAUGGCUUCAGAAUUCAAAAUAACUCCACCACUUUUUCUAAUUAUAGUAGAGAGUGUGGUUUCGCGUUCCUGCAUCAGAUGUUGAGGAUCAAAGGCAUCUGAAACAAUCAUAAAGACGAUACCAAAAGAACACCUGGGUAGAUGCACGAACUGCAAAGCCUCCUGGAGAAGGAGGCCAUGUAUGUGGGACUGUGGGCUGUGGGUCUGGGGCCCCCCUCCCCCUCUGCCCAUCUCAGUGCACUGCAGUAUGUCCUGAGCACUGCUGCCCACUCCCAUGAGCAGAAUACCCAAAUUCCAACACGUCUCCCUCCUGCUCCAGCCACACUGCAUGACCCACAGUAUCCCUUUGGCACUUCACAUCCAGUUCUUCUCUGGCGCUGCAAUGGCAAGGGAAAGAUGCACCAUUGGCACUGCAGAGGAAAUCCCUGUCAUCUCCCUGCUGCUGCUCCCUUUUUUCUACGGGGGCAACAUCAUGGGAUGACCCUGCUCACCAAAGGACCCUGACAAGUACCCAUGGUCAUGGUUCCCCUCUGGCUUGGCUCACUUUGCAGGACGCCUCAUUUUUCCGGACACUGGAAGUUCAUCCAGGGCUCUUAGUGGAUGUUUUCCCUGCACUGUGAUUACUGAAAGCUAUUCUUCAUUAAAGGAUAGAAUUCAUCUCUGCUGAAUGUAUAGGAUGACGCCUGAAGCCCACCCCAAUCUCCAUUAACUGCAUUGUUCUCACGGCUGAGAGAAAUAAGGUUUAUUUUAGUCAGCAUAGUGAACAAACACCACCUGUGAUCUUCUCAGGAAGCUGACCUGAGCUAAGAGGUGACAUUUUUACUGCUCCUUUCUGACUGUAACCAAGCCUAAUGGUGCAUGGAUUAUUAUGCUUCCAGCAAAUCCGUCUUUUUUAGUUGAAAAUGAGGUUUUAGUCAAUUAAAUUCUCAGUGAAAAUAAAGACAUGUACAACAUACAUACAAUAAUUCAAUUUAAAAACACACUGAAAGAAAGGAGCUUUUAAGAAUGGUGCUGUGAAUGAAAGAUAAGAAUAUUCUUUUGUGGUAUGAAUAAAUUGCCACUCUUGUUAGCACUCUUACGAAGUGAUCACAGGAUGAAUCCGCCUGCAAAUAUGGCCAACCUCUCUGCUUUCCAAGAUACUCACUGCCUGGACGAACAUAUCCACUGCCACUGCUUUAUGGAUCACCGGGAUUUUGAGCUGGUGGUCAGAAAACAGGAGACACAGCAUGCCUGGUAGGCUGCACUGCAGUACGAAUCAAGCUUCACGGGUGCUGUCAGCCAUGCACAGCUCCUCCCAGCCAGUCUUGGGACCAAGAGAACAAAUAAAGCCUGUAAACUUCACCUCCCCAG